AAUGUAAGUUACUUUGGUAAUGUAGUUUGUUAUUUAUAGUUCUUAUUGAACAGUAUGUCAUAGGCAUAGGCAUAGCUGUGUAUAGCUAUUUAUCUCCUUUGUACCUUUCAAUUAGCUGUCAUCAAUUUAGAGCUCGGGCAGAUAUGCAGUGGAUUGUUUCCCUUUUCAGCUUAGUGAGCAUGUUGAUUAUAUAUCAUAUUGGCCUGCUGAGCUUUACACAGCUGUACCAUGUCGACCUUCCUUUCCAAGAGGAUUUUUAUGGGAUGAAGGUUUUCAUCAACUAAUAAUCUGGUUAGUUUCUUGUGCUAAUAAUAUCCUUCAUGACCUCAACCACUACUACUAUCAUCAUUAUCAUUUGUCUUUGUUUGAAAUUCAGUUUAAGUGCAGUUUUCUUGACUGCACAAGACUUACUGGUAUUAUUUAGCAAACAAAUAAUCUAUGAUCUGUAAAUAUGUUUUUUUGAUCUUGUUCACAUUAACCAGGCGUUGGGAUAUCCAUAUUUCAUUGGAUAUCAUUGGACACUGGUUAGAUUUGAUGAAUGCUGAUGGAUGGAUACCACGUGAACAAAUUCUCGGGGCUGAAGCACUCAGGUGUAGUAAAAACAUUUAGUUCAAAUAAUUGCAGUAAAUGUAAAGUUUUUAGCUGUCCUACUGACUUAGAUUCUUCUGCACUUGCAGUCGGGUUCCAGAGGAAUAUGUUCCUCAGCAUCCAACAAAUGGAAAUCCUCCGACUCUGUUUUUAGCAUUAAAUGGUAUAUAUUAAUUUUCCUUUUCUAUUAUCCUUUUUUUUUUCUAGUUAUGAGAAUUUUUAUUUUAAAAAGAAGGCUACAUAUAUGCCAUUAAUGAGUUCGAGCUAGCAUGACUUAGGCUUGGUUGUGUAUUUUAAUUUUUCUGUUUCCUCGAGCUUGAGGGACGAUACUUAUAGCAACUAGCUUCCUGCCUGGUUAUUUUUGUCUCUUCUGUGACUGUGAUAACAUACCCUUGUAACUUCGCUUGUUCUAGAUCUUUGGCAUCACGCAUAAUUGAUCUGGAUUUGAUGAUACUUCGAUAUUUCUGAGUAAUAAAUUUAUGGAGACAGUUUGACAAUUUGUAUGAAGUAAUUAUAUCGGUAACUUUCACUUUAGGUAAAAAAAUAUGGUUAAAAUUAGUUUGGAGAUGUAUUACUUUGGUGCUGCUGAAAAGUGGAAACUUUUAUGCUUUAUAUGGGACAUAGAUCCAAUGCAAGUAUAUGAAAGUUAUUGCCCCCUCUUUUACUUAGCUAUGUAGCAGUACAGAACUUUUUUUCUGUAUAUUUCUUGAUCUCUCUGCUCACCACCCCCCAUUCCCUCCCACACCACCAAAAAAAAUUCUUACCAAAGUGGUUAAAAUUCUAUUUUUGUAGGUAUAAUUAAUGGAUUGAAGAAUAAUGAGUUUACUGCAACGGAUAAAACUGAGAUCUCUCUGUUCCUGGAGCGUGCCUUUGUUCGAUUAGAAGCAUGGUUCCAAUGGUUCAAUACAACUCAGUCAGGUAUGCUCUAUAAUGCACGUGUAGUCUGAUUGAGCACUGGAAAUAGAUUGCUUCUUUCUGACCCCGCCUCCCUUUUAUUAUUAUCAGGGAAACAGAUGAGCAGCUACUAUUGGCAUGGACGAAACAAUAGAACUAUAUAUGAAUUAAGUCCCAAGGUUCUAAUAUGCAUUCUUAGUAUAUUUAUUUUUAAUUUCUCUCUGUGCUUGUCUUCAAUUUCAAUCUGAACUAUAUAGAUAGGGCAGCAGAUUAACUUGACCAAAACAACCAUUGGCAUGCUUCAAAAAGAAGCUAAUGGUAAGGCAACCACAAAUGAGAUUUAUUGAAAGAUUGCUAUUACAGAAGGCCAAAACCUACAUAAGCAUAAAGCUGCAAACACGGUUGUUGUAGAUUUCUUGUCACUUUUUUGCUUUUUGGCAUUGGUGGUCAAUUUAUUUGGUAUAGGAUACAAUAAUAGGACUUAUUUUUUAUUCCAAAAAAAUGAGCAUGAAACCUGAAUUCUCACUUGUUACAUUCAAGCACCACUUAUUACAGCCAUCGGUGUUUUGCUGGUUGAUUAUGACAAGGUGUUCCUUGUCCUUGAUGAAGACACUUGCUCCUAACAAACAUUAUUUCUGGCAUUUUCAGACACUGUCAUCUGGAUUUGAUGAUUAUCCACGUGCUUCACACCCAAGUGCAGAUGAGCGCCACGUGGAUCUUAGAUGUUGGAUGUUACUUGCAACCGAUUGUCUGCAAUACAUUGAAGAGUUGUUGGAUAAGGAAACUAAACCUGGCAAAGUAUAAAUUUGAAAAGUAAAUUCAACAGUAUUAUAAUUAUGCAUUGUAAAUUUUAGAUAUCAAGUAUGGUAAAUAUAGGCAGCAGAAUGUUAAGUAACCUAAAAUAAUUGACAUAUUGUAUGAAAUGAUGCAGAAUUAUGGUUCUACUGCUAAAUUGCUAUCAGAUGUCGAGUUACUGAACCAGGUAUUUUACCUUUGCUCCCUCUCUCCCUUUCUUCAGGGUUGUUGCACUUUGCUGUUGGUGAUACAGUACUGGAAUAUGAACAAAAAAAGUGAAGAUAAAGAGGAGAGAGAAAUAAAAGGGACGAAAAAAGAGGAAAUAGAACAGUGUAUGCAUCUAUAGAAUAACUAGAAUUAGAAAUAACCUGGAAAACAAAUUACUCUUCUGGAAAAGAAAACUUUUUUAUUUCUUUAUUUAGAAGACUAUUUAUUUAUUUGUUGAGUUUUUCUGCAAAAUGGAAGAUCAAGUGUUCCAAUUUGAAAAACAAGGUUUUGCCUGACUUUUUCCUUAAAUAUAAAUAAUGAAAAUGAGUCUCAUCUGAGUGUAAUCUUCAUUUGGGCCUUCUUCAAGCUCAUUAUUAUUAAUUAAAAUAUUGAGGAACGUGAACUUCUUAAGGACCCCUGCUGCAUUUACAUGCAUGAAACCUUCAAGUAUAAACACACUACAUGUACAUGGAAUCUUUUCACAUGUUCUCUUUUAGCAAUUGAAGUUUCCCACCGUGAUUCCUGAAUUUAGUCCGGAUAAUUGAUGUAGUUUAACAUAAAGAAAAUAAUCUGAUUUUUCUUUCUAUUUUAAAUGGUUUUUAAGAAAAGAAAAUUGAAAGCGAACUAAUGUCUGCAUGGUGACCCAGAGUCAAUUUGCUACUACCAUAACUGUGUCCAUGCCUAAUUUGUGAUUGAUGACCAUGCAGAUGCAUUUUGAUGAUGCACAUGGUGCUUACUUUGAUUUUGGAAAUCAUACAGAAAAGGUAUAAUGUCUAGUUAUUUAGGUUCAGUAGUAUGCUUACUGUUGCAAGAAUGACAAGGCAUGGGUUUCUUAUUCAUGUCUGAAAAUAUGAGAUAUUCUUCACGUGCUUAACCAUGCUAGAUUCAACUUAAAUGGAAAGAAGUGGAGAUAGGACACAAUCAUACUGCUCGCCAACUUGUCAGGGUUGUUUUAGAGAAGCCCGUAUUGAGAUUGGUUCCUCACAUUGGUUAUGUUAGUCUAUUCCCAUUCAUGGGGAAGAUCAUUCCAUCUGUAAGUAAUGCAUGUAUUCUCAAUAUCUUGAAACUUUUAUGCUAAGAAGAACUGAGAAAUUUUUCCUUGCUUAACUGACUUCACAAUUAGAUGCAUAUUUUAUUUUAUUUCAUCGACGAACAAAUGUUAGUUGUUAAUUAGUUUUUCCCUUUUUCCUUCAAAUAUUAAGUCAACCUUAUAACUCCAUAUGCAUAAUUUUAUUAUGACUGUCUCAUUCAGGGAUCAUGGAUUCUGGAAAAGCAGCUUGAACUCAUUUCAAAUCACAGUCUCUUUUGGACUGGCUAUGGACUGCGAUCGCUUGCCACGACAAGGUAUAUUACAACCUAUGCUUAAAUGCAUUUUUAAUGGUUUGAAUUUGUGUGGUCUUAUUCAGCAUAUGUUGCUUAUGGUGAACCAAAAAAUAAUUAUUUUUCACAGUUCCUUGUACAUGAAAUUCAACUCUGAGCUUGAGGGUCCAUAUUGGAGAGGUCAAAUUUGGAUAAACAUGAAUUACAGAAUUCUUUCAGCGCUCCACCAUUACUCCAAAGGUAAUAUGAACUGGCCUAGGCAAAAUAUCUGCAAAUAUUUCACUUCAUUCAUACCUUGUGGUGAAUGUUGUAGAGAAUGGACCAUAUCAGGACAGAGCUAAAGCUAUCUACAAAGAACUGAGAAGCAAUUUAAUUAGGUAUUGUUUAAUUUUGUUUGGUACCUUUGUGAUCUUGUUUUAAGAUAUUGGUUGGUUUUUAAAUAAUAAUUUCCAUCUUACUGCAGAAAUAUAGUACGCAAUUAUCAACAAACUGGAUUUUUGUGGGAACAGUACGAUCAGAAUAACGGUAAGGGAAAAGGGUCACAUCCAUUUACCGGCUGGACAUCACUUGUAGUAUUAAUCAUGGGGGAAGAAUAUGACAUAAUUUAGAAUAACUACGUUACCCAAGCAUUGGACCUUUUAUUCACUGUGGAGUAAGCAAACCAGCAAGAUCUUCAUAGCAUAUUACAAGAUGGCCAUCUAAUUUCUCAUAAGGCUAUCAUACUGCAACAAUGUAUAAUAACCCUCCAACUCCCUUGGUGGGUGUCAAAUUGUCAAUGAUAAUGUAUAAUGUAUGGGUCAUUUCAAAUUAAAAGUUCUGUCAACAAAAAUAAGUGGAGGCAAAAAGUUAUCAUUCCAAAAGUUCCUCUGUGUGUUUAGGCGUCACUAUCAAUGAUCCUCUUACACAUUUUCGGGGUUAAAACAUUCCUCCACCUUCAUACUUUUCAGAAGCUACCGCAACAUUCCAGGAAAGUUCCAAUUGUACUACAUCGGUAAUCAGAAGGCAGGAUUCUAAAAUUCUUUCGACUCGAUUAUGAUAGUAAAUUAGUAAUACGAGGCAUGAAGUUCUUCAUUAUAAACAAGUAAUUUCUUUGCAAUUAGUGAGGGAGCAUAUCUUAUGAUGGAAGCUCAAAGAGUUCAAAACAUAAAAAGAUUAUUUCAUGUAAAACAAAGGUAACAUAAUGUUUAGAGAUUUCUGGUCAAGGGCCAUUACAAUACCAUGGAUUUUAUAAAGUAUGGACUCGUAAAAAGUGUUGGCCAUGGAUUUUACAAAGAAAAUGGCUAAUUGAUCACUAUCCAAGAUUAAUGUGGAUUGAUGUUGUGUCCAAGUUAGACUAUUGACUUAUUUAAAGUGAAUUGUUGACUUGUCUAAAGUGGAUAGCUGACUUGUCCGAAGUGGAUUGCUAACUCACCAUGAUCAUAGAAUGUAGAGAGUCAAGAUCCAAAUUGCUUAAGUUGGUCAAGACUCGGGACUCUAUCGCAACUAAGACACUGGAAAAUGAAGGUAUUUACAUUGAAUGCGCAUGUGUGUAUGGUCUACGACAUCUUAUGCGUAAUUAUAUAUUGUUUUGGUGUAACGACAAGACAAUUUUGUUAAUGGAUACAAAUUGAUGAACAUUUGGAUGCUAUUUAAUACCUUGAGAGAGAAAAAAAGAGAAGAGAGAAAUAAAGGUAUGAUAAAUAAUAUAAUUUAAAUUUGAUAAGAGAGAAAUAAUUUUUUUAUUUUGGUGUGCCCACAAGAAAGUUUAUAUUUAGGAAAUGUUCAUCAUCUAUUUUACAAUUUUUUAUGUUUGACUUUAUUGACUUAUACUUCCCGUCUUUAAUUAUAAUAUCUUUUAUAAGAAAUUUAUUUGUUUCAUUUUUAUAAGAUUUUUUUUUUAAUUUUUAGAUAUAUUAAUUAUUUUUUUCUUCUAUAUUUUUAUUUAAUUAUUUUUUUCUUUAAAUAUGUAUAAGAAACAAUUAAGUUAAGUGGAUAGAGAUAAAAAAAUAAUUUUAAAAUAAUAGUAUAAAUAAUUGAUAAAUUUAAUACGUACAUUAUAACAAAGGAAUGAGGGAAGGAAUAAUACAUUAUAUUUUUUUAUAACGAUAAUAUAUUAUUUUUACUGUUUUUGUUGUAUACGUACCCACUUAUAUUAUCUUAUUCAUUCAUUGUUUGGUUUGGCCACUUGUGAACGACUGCUAGAACUACAAUUCCAUAAGCUUUGGCCAUUUAAACGUAGGGUUCUCCGUUGUUUCAUCCCACUCUUCGUCUCUUAUACUGUAGGACUGAUGUCUGUGUAUAGAAGGCACAUGACUUCUUUUACUCAAGUUGAAAGAUUUCUUUCACAUAUUCAAUGGCUAAUAAAUGUAACAAGGUUCCCACCCAUUUGGGUUCAAAAGUUUGAAUUUAGAACCCGCCACAUUUGGGCCUUUACUAAAAUAAGAUGGGAGUUACUUUGGGCACCCAUAUUUUUGCUGGGACACCAGCAACAUAGGUGAAAGGGCUAAAAUGCCCUUCACCUUUUCUUUAAAUACGGAUCAACAAUCAGUAUGAAUCAUAUAGAUCGAAAAUCUGUAUGUCUCAUAUGGAUCAUGAAUUCACAUGAAUUUUUUUAUAAUUUUUAAUUAUUUUUUUUAAAAAAAUUAAAAAUUAAUUUUAAAAAAAACUCAUGAAUUGAUGAUUCAUAUGAGUCAUAUGGAUUGAAAAUUCGUAUAAAUUAUACAGAUCAUCAAUCCGUAUGAGUUCUUUUUUUCUCUAAAUUUUUAAUUAUUUUUCGUAUGAGUUCUUUUUUAAUUUUUAAUUAUUUUUAAAAAUAAAAAAAAAAUAAAAAUUAAUUUUUUUAAAAAAUAACUCAUACAGAUCAUCAAUCCGUAUGAUUUUUUUAAUUUAUAAUUAUUUUCAAAAAUUAAAAAAUUUAAAAUUAGUUUUACAAAAAAAACUCAUACGGAUUGAUGAUUCUUAUGAGUGAUAUGACUCAUACGGUCGUAUAAGUUUUUUUUUUUAAAAAAAAUUAAUUUUAAAAUUUGUAAUUAUUUUUUUUAAAAAUAUUUUAAAAACUAAAAAUUAUUUUUUAUAAAAAAUCAUAAGGAUUGUUUAUCAAUAUGAGUUAUAUGGAUUCGUAAUCCAUAUGACUCAUACGGAUUGAUUAUCUGUAUGAGUUUUUUUUAAUUUUUUAAUUAUUUUUUUAAAAGUAAUUAAAAAAUUAAAAAUUAAUUAAAAAAAAACAAACUUAUAUGGAUUGAUGAUUUGUGUUUGUCAUAUGUAUUCUUUUAAAAAUAAUUUUAUUUAUUUUUUAACAUGUUAUAGAAAUUAUUUUUUUCAUAUAUUGGCAAUAGUUUUAACAAUUUUAUAAAUAUUGAUUUGGCAAUAUUAUUUAAAACAUACUAAACAACUACCAAACUUCACCGUAUAUCCUUAACAAAGCAUGUGCACCACCGACGAUAACAAACGCGUACCAACGAAAAGUAACGAAAGCAAAUUUCAGUUACGGAGUGAGGUUUUCCGAAAACAAAAAAGCACUGCAGAAAUGAAAAAAAGAAUAUGCUAUUUAUAACUCAAAAUGAUUAUAAUGACAGUUUUGGCAAUUUGGGAAACUGCUGGUGUACCAGCAAUAACUUGGGUGCCCAAAGCAGUUCCCAAAUAAGGUUGAAUUUGGGCCAGGUUAGUCCAAAAUUCAGACCCUCGAUAAUCGGUCAAGUCACUCGUCUCCUUCCUUCUGAUACUCCACUGCUACGUUACACUGCGAAAUCCCCAAUUAACACCGAAACCUCUGCUACGCAAACACUCCCUCCAAUCGAACUCCAAAUCCCUAUGCAUGCGGUGGCGUGAAUCUCUGAUCCGCCAAAAAUGACUGGAAGUGGAAGAAGUACCGUUCGGAGCAGAGCGAGAUCCGAUGCCGACGCCGACGCCGAUUCUCGACGACAAAAGAGGCCUCCGUUCAAUCGACAAAGAGAGAGAAGCAGAUACGGAAGCUCCAUUCCGAUAUACAACAAUGCCAAUCUCAAAGUGCUGCUCGGUAUCUGCUUCGUCGCAUUCUUCAUCAUCUGGUUUAUGAUCCACCACCUCUCCAAUUCCGUAACGGAACCGAAGCUUCCUCGCGCCGUCACGCCAUUUCCCGCGCCAAAGAUAAUGGACCUUCCUCAGGUCAACUUUCAACUUUCUCCAUUUUUUUUUCAGUUUUGAGAAUUCGACCAUACUAGCGUGCGUGAAGGAAGAAGAAAGAAAGAAGAAUGACUUGGUUGGUGCUGUUGCAGUUUGAAGGUGAGCACAAGGAGAGUUUGUAUUGGGGAACUUAUCGUCCUCACGUGUAUCUCGGAAUUCGCGCCAGGUAUGUUACCGUUUCUGAAGCACAAUUCAUGUGUAUUUAUUUUGGAAUAUAUAUAUAGGGAGCAUAUCAGGUGAGAGGAGUGUUUUAUUAUGAGAGGUGAGAGGAUUAAACAGCAGACUCGGCUGAUAUGCCCCCUAUAUAUAUAUAUAUAUAUAUAUAUAUAUGUGUGUGUGUGUGCGCUUGAGGUGUGUUUUUUUUUGUUUAUUGAUCGAUGAAACCACAAGGUAUAAGCAGACUCAGCUUUGUUUUGUUUGCGCUGAAAUGGAAUUAUCAAAGUAAGAGACUAUUUUGGUGGUUAAGGCUUAUAGCCUUAUACUGUUGUUGAUGGUGCAGGGUCUGUAUAUAUUUCGAGUUGUGUGUAAUUUGAAUGAUUUAUGCCUGCAAAUUGUGCAUCACACAGAAAGUGGUGUUCCCAAAUUUUGGCUUAGAUUGUGUUUAGGAUACCGAUGUCGACGAUAUUUGACUCAGCAUGCAAGCAUUCUCACUUGCUUUUUUUUUGGGUGGUGUUGGUGGUGUUUCUAUUUCAGGACUCCAAAAUCUUUGAUGGCUGGAUUAAUGUGGAUUGGUGUGAAGGAUGGCAAAUACCACUUGCGGCAUUUUUGCCGACAUGAGGAUGACCUAAGUACUUAUGGUUGGACAAGGCACAAUGGACGUGAUUUUGGACAUCAAGUGCUGGUUGACCAUGGCAUGACCUUGACUACUGGGUUUUUAAAAUCAAAAGAGGAAGGCAGUGGUUAUGGUGGAGAUUGGGCAGUUCGAAUUAAUGUGCAAAUUGAUAAGUGAGUGAUGUUAUCAACUUCAAAUCACUUUCAUAUAUGUACUGCGACAGAAUAAUUUUGUUUGUAGUUUUUCUUUAUUGCUAAGUAGAUGCUAGCCAGUUUGUUGAAGUUAGAGAUACUCAUGGCAUCCUUGUUAAUUUUAAGUUAGCUUUUGGAUUGACUUAUUUCCUGAAUUAAUUAUAACAUAACCUAAUAAGUAAUAACUUUGAUCUUAAUUUUCCUGCAGAUCUUUCUUAUUGUUUCCCUUUAUGAGUCUACAUUUCUUAGAAUUGCUCUAUUCAGUGACUUUCAUCUAUUGAUUGCCUUUAUUCUUGUGGUUGAACCUCAGGUCCAAGUGGAAUGAGGAAUUUGGGAUUGGUGCCCAGCUCUUUUUCUAUUUGGCUGAUGAAGCUGGUAAUGCCCUAGAUGUAAGUAGAGAAAACUUGAACAUUCAUGAGGAUUCUUUGCUUGCAUCUGGCUCUGGAGCAGAUAUUGGAGAUUGGCAACUACAUUUGAAAUCAAAGGUAAUGAUUGAACAUUCAAGAUUCUGUUACUUGUACUACCAUUGGACAUUUUUUUGUAUAGAUUUUAUGGUUUACUGCUUGUGAUUGACUUACACUUCCUUAAAGAAGCACCCACAAUUCCUGUUUCAGUCUUUGAAAUAGUUUAAGAAUAUGAUAAACCAAUGAGUGUCCCCAUUUUGUAGCAAACAUGUAUUGCCAUUAUUUAAUAUUUUAACUACCUAGAUAAAAUUCCCAGUCCUCCUUUUUCCUUUGAUCGAUAAAUAACCCAUUUAAAUCAUUCCUCUCUUGCCCUAAUGUAGAAAUUGUUAUCUCUUGAUUAUCUGUUAUAUUAUGCCUGGUAGUAACCUGCUAUUCAUUUUCUUAUGCUUAAUAUUUUUCAGGAUGAUUUGCAGCUGCAUUAUGCUGGAUUUCGCACACCUCACUUUCACAAUUUGUCUGAUCUCGUAGAGGAAAAUCUUGCAUCACAAGUAGGUUAGGGUAUUUCAGUUCAAUUCAAUUUAUCUGAUGAUAUAUAAUUUUCAUGUAAAUGCAAGAAUAUGUGGUUAUGGAUUUUUGUUUUUUUUGGGUUUUCCCUUGAUAUAUUUGCUUUAUGUACAUGUUUUAGUAGAUACAAAAGCAUGCUCGACUGCAGCUAUCUGACUCAUUAGAUGAUUCUCCAAAUGUAUUAGUUUUUCAGGUAAAUAGACCAUGUACACUUUGUAAUACCCAUUUAACUUUUUUAAUCUUUACGAGUCUCAUUCUCUUGCUCACUCACACACACAACCACUCUCCAACUACUCUUGAAAACAUCUUUCCUUACGGUUUCACUUCAUAUGUGCUUCUCAAUUUUUUAUUUGUGCUGCAGAUUAUUGGUGGAUUUCCUUUCACAACAGAUAUUGUACUAAUCUCUGGAACUGAUUUGGAAACUUCUAGAGAAGAAGAGCGUGUCAGUAUGCUUACAGGUUUUCAUCGGCUUCUUUAUAAUGUUUGUACAAAAUCUGGCAUGUAUGUUUGCGUGCUUUCAUCAAAAAGGAGGAAAAAAUCUAGUCCUUUACAUUGUUGUAGGAGUUGUCGACUUGCUCAUUGAUUUGGAAACUUGCUUCUCAUAUUGAUGUACAUUGUUGGGCUUUAUAAAUUGUGUGGCUAAUUGUAUUAAUUAAUCUAAUGGCUGAAAUUUGGAAGAUAUGUUUUACUUUGCUUUCAAAGGCUUUCGGUUUGUCUCUUUCUCUUAGGAUGUUUUCUUGUUUAAAUAUUAAAUAUUAUAUAUUUUAAAGAGAACUAGGCUACUCUUUACCGAAUUUGUAGAGACUAUUUUAAUCUAAUUGGCAUUAGGAUGCUACAUGCUAUUGUGUAAUUGUUUAUUUGUUAUUUUGCUCAUUGUUAGGUACCUCACUGUCCAAUAAACUGAAAUAUAAAGAACAAGAAUUUGAUGAGAAGUUUGAGAAGAUUUUCAAUUUGGCCGAGAAGGUACUAAUUUUAUUGUCCUUUGUCUUCUUUUUUUUUUUUUAUUCUCUCAAAUUCAAUUACUUAGGGUAUGUUUGGAAGAACUUACUACUUAUUUGGAUUUAUCUUAUGAUAUAGCACUUGUGUAAGUGUUUUGGAAAGCAUAUGAAAACAACUUAUGUUAUCUUCAUAAGUUAUUUUUAGCUUAUUUUAGUAACUUCUCCAAAAUAUUAUGAAAACAUCCUUACAACUUAUAUGAAAAUAGUUUAAACCCAUUUCCUCUUUGAUUGUAAAAACUAUACAAGUGCUUACAUGAUAAAUACUUAUUCAAGAAGCCCUUAUAUUAAGUUGUUUACCAAAACAACCCUUAUUCUUCUUGUUUUGUCUUUUGAUGUGUUCUGGAUCUCUCAAAUUUCAUUUGCUUGAGUAAAUUUGUUUAGAAGCUUAUCCUUGAUGGAAAUAAAUUAUUUAUCAUAGUAGUGGAUUUCCAGGUGGAUUCCGAAGCCUUAUCUGUUGGUAAGGCUGCUGUUGGAAACUUAUUAGGUGGAAUCGGCUACUUCUAUGGCCAGUCAAAGAUUGCUCUUUCAAGAAUCCUUAAUGUAAGUUACUUUAUUUUGUUUUUUAUAGUCCUUAUUGAAGUGUAUGCCACCCCUUAAUAGUGCAUAACUUGACAUGUGAUUAUCAUAAAUGUGAAAACUUUGUUUCUUGUGUUUGAUUUUCUGUUGAUAAAGAGGAGAUUUUAGAGACGAGAAAAAGAAAUACGAGAACAGAGGAUUGCUAACCAACAAAGAGGAUUCUAGCCAAAUUAAAAAUUUCUUCAGUUGCAUCCAUAAAUGAAUUAAUGCUUACUGAAAACCUAGACAAGCUAAUUAACUAGCAAACCAUGCUGCAGAUCAAUAAAGAUUUGACUUUGAAAUUAAUAUUAUCUGAACACCGUUAAGUUGCUAAAAAGAGUAAAACUAUUUUAUCAUAAAACCAACAUAAAAAAAUGUAUCCUUGCAUUUCUCGCAUCUCUCACUAACCAUAAUCACCUAUUAACAGCAUACAUUGUACACUGCCAAGUUGCCUUUCCCUUCCUAUCCCUUCUCCUAGAACCCUCUAAUUGGAGAAAAUGUUCUAAGCUCUUUGUACAAAUUCACAAUUCGCCAAUAUUAUCAAAGCUUACACCACAAAUAUCUAACUGCCGGACAUGUGACUCAAUAGUAGAGAUUUUGAUCAUGUGUUACCUGCAACUUAUGGUAUCACUAUCACCAUAUCAAU
rnacentral:lncRNA from 1 species